UGGGGAAUUUUGGACAAUGGGCGCAAGCCUGAUCCAGCAAUGCCGCGUGCAGGAUGAAGGCCUUCGGGUUGUAAACUGCUUUUGUACGGAACGAAACGGCUCUGUCUAAUACAUGGGGCUAAUGACGGUACCGUAAGAAUAAGCACCGGCUAGCUACGUGCCAGCAGCCGCGGUAAUACGUAGGGUGCAAGCGUUAAUCGGAAUUACUGGGCGUAAAGCGUGCGCAGGCGGUUAUGCAAGACAGAUGUGAAAUCCCCGGGCUCAACCUGGGAACUGCAUUUGUGACUGCAUAGCUGGAGUGCGGCAGAGGGAGAUGGAAUUCCGCGUGUAGCAGUGAAAUUCGUAGAUAUGCGAAGGAACACCGAUGGCAAAGGCAAUCCCUGGGACUGUACUGACGCUCAUGCACGAAAGCGUGGGGAGCAAGCA
rnacentral:rRNA from 1 species